CCACGGGUCUCUGCAGUGGGGAAUAUUGGACAAUGGGCGAAAGCCUGAUCCAGCCAUGCCGCGUGUGUGAAGAAGGCCUUCGGGUUGUAAAGCACUUUCAGUGGGGAAGAAAGCCUUGGGGCUAAUACCCUCGAGGAAGGACAUCACCCACAGAAGAAGCACCGGCUAACUCCGUGCCAGCAGCCGCGGUAAUACGGAGGGUGCGAGCGUUAAUCGGAAUUACUGGGCGUAAAGCGCGCGUAGGCGGUCUGAUAAGCCGGUUGUGAAAGCCCCGGGCUCAACCUGGGAACGGCAUCCGGAACUGUCAGGCUAGAGUGCAGGAGAGGAAGGUAGAAUUCCCGGUGUAGCGGUGAAAUGCGUAGAGAUCGGGAGGAAUACCAGUGGCGAAGGCGGCCUUCUGGACUGACACUGACGCUGAGGUGCGAAAGCGUGGGUAGCAAACAGGAUUAGAUACCCUGGUAGUC
rnacentral:rRNA from 1 species